rnacentral:lncRNA from 13 species
GUGCCAGCUGCCACCGGCCAUUAUUAAAAUGGAGUGUUAUGGUAUUACGAUACUGGUAAAUGCAAAACUGUCUUGCAUCGAGUGGGAAUCCAUGAAGAAUGAAUCUCAUUAAACACAAGUACUUACUCAGACAGUUCCAUCAAACUCCCUCAAAUGCCACUUACUGCGCGCCUGGGAGAUGCGGGUGGAAGCACACGCCCUUUGAUGUGUGUCACAGAGCAGCAGCUGCUCUGAGCAGAACAAAGCUCCUGCUCCGUCAUAGCUUCAGUGCGGAUGGAAAUUGAGAGAGGAUGACACGGCUGUAUUUCGGAACAGUGGGCAUUUAGCAACAUCCAAGGAGACAAAUAAGCCUCUUAAAUUCAUUAGUAUCUUGGUAAGACUGAUUAUGCAGCAGUGAGCGGUGAAUGGCUCUGACUUCUCGGGGAAAAUGAAAUGAGAAGAAACAGCAAAGCGGGGUGCCUCUUUCCUGGAGCAGCUGUGGAGUCCCCUCAGGAGGUGGCGAACCCCGGAGGGCAACUGAUGGUACACAAAGGACAGCAGCUGAAAAUGAGCCUCUGGGGGUCACCAUCCCGAAGAGCCUCCAACCUGCCCGGCCCAGAAGGGCAGAGGAGAGGGCGCCCUGAGCUGAGCUGCCAGGUGACAGCUGCAGCCGCAGCCCCAGCAGACUCCACAGGGUCGUUUUUCAGGGCUGAAGCUGGAAGUGUGGAUGGCGGCCCCAAUGCAGCUGUUUGGGAAUUCAAUAUGGAAUUGCUUACUAUGUCCAAGGACAGUCAUGAAUACCUCAGAGGAUGCCGCCCCAGAGAAGAGAGGGCAAACUAAUUAUGGGAAAUAUGGGUGACCUCAACAAUGAAGCAAAAUACGAUUCAGCCAGACAUACGGCAGUUUCCUAGGAACAAAUAUUUCCAAACCAUUGCAUGAUCUACCUUUUUUUAUCUUAACCUACUCUAUGGGUAGACAGGAAAUUAAAAUUCUGAUCCAUAUUACUCAACCCCAAUCAUCUGUAUUUUCAGGAAAUACAAAUACAUGUUAAUAAGUGGAUCGUUGCAGCAAUGAAAAAUAGAUUCUGGGCUGGGUGCAAUGGCUCACGUCUGUAAUCCCAGCACUUUGGGAGCUGAGGCGGGCAGAUCACUUGAGGUCAGGAAUUCAAGACCAGCCUGGCCAACAUGGUGAAACACUGUCUCUUCUAAAAAUACAAAAAAUUAGCCAGGCAUAGUGGUGUGUGUCUGUAGUCUCAGCUUCUUGGGACACCAAGGCAGGAGAAUCACUUGAACCCUGGAGGCAGAGGUUGCAGUGAGCUGGGAUUGUGCCACUGCACUCCAGCCUGGGCAGAGCUGGAGACUCCAUCUAAAAAAAAAAAAGAUUCCU